UGGGGAAUAUUGCACAAUGGGCGCAAGCCUGAUGCAGCCAUGCCGCGUGUAUGAAGAAGGCCUUCGGGUUGUAAAGUACUUUCAGCGGGGAGGAAGGUGUCAAGGUUAAUAACCUUGGCAAUUGACGUUACCGACAGAAGAAGCACCGGCUAACUCCGUGCCAGCAGCCGCGGUAAUACGGAGGGUGCAAGCGUUAAUCGGAAUUACUGGGCGUAAAGCGCACGCAGGCGGUUGAUUGAGUCAGAUGUGAAAUCCCCGGGCUUAACCCGGGAAUUGCAUCUGAUACUGGUCAGCUAGAGUCUUGUAGAGGGGGGUAGAAUUCCAUGUGUAGCGGUGAAAUGCGUAGAGAUGUGGAGGAAUACCGGUGGCGAAGGCGGCCCCCUGGACGAAGACUGACGCUCAGGUGCGAAAGCGUGGGGAGCAAACAGG
rnacentral:rRNA from 1 species